GUUUUAAUAGUUUAAAAUAAAACACUGGUCUUGUAAACCAGGAAUGAGAUUACUCUCUUAAAACU
rnacentral:tRNA from 1 species